GACGAACGCUGGCGGCGCGCUUAACACAUGCAAGUCGAACGGAAAGGCCUGCUUUCCCUUGUGGAUUGCGGGUACUCGAGUGGCGAACGGGUGAGUAACACGUGAGUGAUCUGCCCCCAACUUGGGUAUAAGCCUGGGAAACUGGGUCUAAUUCCCGAUAGGACUGCAGGGUGGUGCCUGUGGUGGAAAACGAUUUUCUAGUGGUUGGGGAUGAGCUCGCGGCCUAUCAGCUUGUUGGUGGGGUAAUGGCCUACCAAGGCGGCGACGGGUAGCCGGCCUGGGAGGGUGGACGGCCACAUUGGGACUGAGAUACGGCCCAGACUCCUACGGGAGGCAGCAGUGGGGAAUAUUGCACAAUGGGCGGAAGCCUGAUGCAGCGACGCCGCGUGGGGAUGACGGCCUUCGGGUUGUAAACUCCUUUCGACCGCGAGGAAGCCACCUGGUUGGAAGGGUGGUGACGGUAGUGGUAGAAGAAGCACCGGCUAACUACGUG
rnacentral:rRNA from 1 species